rnacentral:rRNA from 1 species
AUAGCGUAUAUUAAAGUUGUUGCAGUUAAAAAGCUCGUAGUUGAACUUCAGACCUGGCUGGAUGGUCUGCCUAACGGUAUGUACUGUCCGGCUGGGCCUUACCUCUUGGUGAGCCGGUGUGCCCUUUAUUGGGUGCGUUGGUGAACCAGGACCUUUACCUUGAGAAAAUUAGAGUGUUCAAAGCAGGCCUAUGCCCGAAUACAUUAGCAUGGAAUAAUAAAAUAGGACGUGCGGUUCUAUUUUGUUGGUUUCUAGAGUCGCCGUAAUGAUUAAUAGGGAUAGUUGGGGGCAUUGGUAUUGAGUCGCUAGAGGUGAAAUUCUUGGAUUGACUCAAGACCAACUAUUG